UGACAUUCCUUUCUUCCUUCAAUGGUGGU
rnacentral:piRNA from 1 species